rnacentral:rRNA from 1 species
AGGAUAGGUCCAAUUAAGAACUUGCAGUCGUAUUACUGUAAGUCCGUAAUGGUCUUAUGGUAAGUUAGCGGCGGACGGUUGAGUGAACACGUGGGUAACCUGCCCAUAAGACUGGGAUAACUCCGGGAAAGCGGGGCUAAUACCGGAUAACAUUUUGAACCGCAUGGUUCGAAAUUGAAAGGCGGCUUCGGCUGUCACUUAUGGAUGGACCCGCGUCGCAUUAGCUAGUUGUUGAGGUAACGGCUCACGAAGGCAGCGAUGCGUAGCCGACCUGAGAGGGUGAUCGGCUGCACUGUUACUGAGAUACGGCCCUUACUCCUACGGGAGGCAGCAGUAGGGAAUCUUCUGCACUGGACGAAAGUGUGACGGAGCAACGCCGCGUGAGUUAUGAAGGGUUUCGGGUCGUAAAACUCUGUUGUUAGGGAAGAACAUGUGCUAGUUGAAUAGGCUGGCACCUUGACGAGUACCUAACCAGAUAGUCAGGGCUAACUACGUGCCAGCAGCCGCGGUAAUACGUUAGGUGGCGUGCGUUAAUCCUGAAUUAUUGGGUGUAAAGGGCGGGCAGGUGGUUUCUUAAUUGCUGAUGUGUAAGCCCAUGGCUCAAGCGUGGAGGGUCAUUGGAAAUUGGGAGACUUUCUUGCAGAAGAGGAGAGUGGACUUCCUUGAUUUAGCGGUGAAAUUCGUAGAGAUAUGGUGGAAUACCAGGUUUCGAAGGCGACUUUCUGGUCUGUAAUUGACACUGAGGCGCGAAAGCGUGGGGAGCAAACAGGAUUAGAUACCCUGGUAGUCCACGCCGUAACGAUGAGUGCUAAGUGUUAGAGGGUUCCCGCCCUUUAGUGCUGAAGUUAACGCAUUAAGCACUCCGCCUGGGGAGUACGGCCGCAAGGCUGAAACU